UGGGGAAUAUUGGACAAUGGGCGCAAGCCUGAUCCAGCCAUGCCGCGUGAGUGAAGAAGGCCUUCGGGUUGUAAAGCUCUUUUUACCAGGGACGAUAAUGACGGUACCUGGAGAAUAAGCUCCGGCUAACUUCGUGCCAGCAGCCGCGGUAAUACGAAGGGAGCUAGCGUUGUUCGGAAUCACUGGGCGUAAAGCGCACGUAGGCGGAUUGUUUAGUCAGGGGUGAAAUCCCGGAGCUCAACUUCGGAACUGCCUUUGAUACUGGCAAUCUCGAGUCCGAUAGAGGUGGGUGGAAUUCCUAGUGUAGAGGUGAAAUUCGUAGAUAUUAGGAAGAACACCGGUGGCGAAGGCGGCCCACUGGAUCGGUACUGACGCUGAGGUGCGAAAGCGUGGGGAGCAAACAGGAUUAGAUACCCCAGUAGUCCCUGAGCGGGCUGGCAAGGCGCAU
rnacentral:rRNA from 1 species